rnacentral:rRNA from 1 species
CGGGUGCACUGAUCCGGCCGGGCCUUUCCCUCUGUGGAACCCCAUGGCCUUCACUGGCUGUGCGGGGGAAACAGGACUUUUACUGUGAAAAAAUUAGAGUGCUCCAGGCAGGCCUAUGCUCGAAUACAUUAGCAUGGAAUAAUAGAAUAGGACGCGUGGUUCUAUUUUGUUGGCUUCUAGGACCGCCGUAAUGAUUAAUAGGGACAGUCGGGGGCAUCAGUAUUCAAUUGUCAGAGGUGAAAUUCUUGGAUCUAUUGAAGACUAACUACUGCGAAAGCAUUUGCCAAGGAUGUUUUCAUUGAUAAGGAACGAAAGUUAGGGGAUCGAAGACGAUCAGAUACCGUCGUAGUCUUAACUAUAAACUAUGCCGACUAGGGAUCGGACGAUGUUAUUUCUUGACGCGUUCGGCACCUUUCGAGAAAUCAAAGUGCUUGGGCUCCAGGGGGAGUAUGGUCGCAAGGCUGAAACUUAAAGAAAUUGACGGAAGGGCACCACCAGGGGUGGAACCUGCGGCUUAAUUUGACUCAACACGGGGAAACUCACCAGGUCCAGACACAGUGAGGAUUGACAGAUUGAGAGCUCUUUCUUGAUUCUGUGGGUGGUGGUGCAUGGCCGUUCUUAGUUGGUGGAGUGAUUUGUCUGCUUAAUUGCGAUAACGAACGAGACCUUUAACCUGCUAAAUAGCCCGUACUGCUCUGGCAGUUCGCCGGCUUCUUAGAGGGACUAUCGG